AAGCUACAGAUCUCUGCAAUAUUGUGCUUCAAAUGAAAUGUUGCCGUUGAAUCCCUCCUGCUCCAAGCAAACUUGAGUGUUUUCAUAAGCUACAGGUUAUCACGUUCCUGAAACCAAGAUGGAUGGUCCAUUUGCAAAACUUAUCGAACGUUCAGCUGAGAAAGGCAAUUUGAUCUACCCUGGUGUGUUGUUGGCCAAGUCCCUUCCAGUCGAGGAGGUGCUGUCUUUCAUCGAUGGGCAGUACAAGUUAGCCGUUGCAGCCCAUGAUGAACUAUGGAUUGAAUGCCUGCAGGAGCAUUUAGUCGACCAUAUGGCUCACAAUCUGCUCAUUUCAAGGUAUCCACACCUGAAUCCUUCAAAGAAUGUGCUUCCCAAGGAACACUUCCCAGACUUACUCUUCUUCGACCCAGGUAAAGUCAUGUGGGAUCCUGUGUUAAGUCGACAACAUCGUCGCUCUGCUGACCUCCUCUCCACUAGUGCGGAGUUUCGGAAAAGAGCAUCUAGAAUACGUCCUGAGCAACGGAGGCCGCCAACAAGCAGCCAGGGGGAAGAGAGUAAGGAGACUAAAGUGCUUCCAGGUACAGCCCCUCCCCUGACACCCUGCCCUGAUAGCACCGUUAAUGUCAAGGAGUAUAAAGAUGCCAAGCCUCUGGACACACCAACUUCUACUAAAAAGCGUAAGGCUAAAAAAAGAAACUGCCCAAUAACAGGGUGUAAUGCUCGAUUUACAGGGUCAGUUAGGAAACACAUAUAUGACCACAUGCCUGUCUGUCUGCGUCCUUCAAGUGAGACAUAUACUUCCAUCCGAGCUUAUUCUCAGGCAAGAUGCCUUCAUUAUUUUGCAAAGCAUAUCCUUCAAAGAGACAAUCUGCCUGAGCUGGUGUCCUGGUUAAAUGCCAAGGCUGAAGGAGCUGACUAUCAGUGGAACCUGCCAGAAGAUCUUCGUUUUGAAAUGGAGAACCUGGCCCGACAUAUGGAAUGGCCAAUAACUGAUACAAUUAAAGUUGGUCCUGCCAACCAUCCUGCCUCAUUGCUUCACUGGAGGGCUUUGGCAUUGCUAAGGAACGGUCUUCCUGAAAAUACUUUGAAAGGAUUUGAGUUGAUAUCAAGUUUAGGAAUUGAAACAAACCAGGUGAAGAAUAAUUCAGCUGGUUCCACACAGCCAGAGAUGACUGCUUUGAACAUGCAAACUCGUGCAAAUACAGCAAGUUCCCAAGUAAGAGACAUUUGUGCAGCUGCAACUGUUGAGUAUUUAACCACCACUACAAAGGAUUUAACCACUACUACAAAGGAUUCAACCACUACUGCACCAUCAGGUUCCUUACAUAUACAGCCAUCUCAACCUGCCAUUAUUCCAUCCCCGGCUAGGCCACCUGGUCCCUUGCAGGUCCUCCCUGCCCUAGUUGCUAAUUUGCUAACCUCUGUUGCUGCAGGCUCCUUACAGAUGCGCUCUACGCAAAUUUCCAUGUUUCCAAGGCCUGCUGUGCCAUCAUGUAACUCACAGAUACAACCUACCGAAGUAGCCAGAAAUAUAUCAUCCGCCAGGCCAUCAGGUUCCUCACAUAUACACUUUGCCCAAGGAACCACAAUUCCAGUGCCUGCUAGGUCAUCAGGUUCUUUCCCGAUUCCUCCUGUACAAGUAUCCACAAUUCCUACCCUAGCUGUGCCAUCAGGUAACUUUCAGAUGCGCCCUGCCCUAGGAGCCACAAUUCCAACCCUAGCUGUGUCAUCAGGUAAAUUCGAGAUGGGCCCUGCCCUAGGAGCCACGAUUCCAAUGCCCAAUUGGCCAUCAAGUUCCUCACUGAUACCUCCUGUCCGAUUGGCCACUCCAACUUCUGUUGCAUUAUCAGGUUCUGUUCCGAUACCCCUUUCUCAACUUGCCACAAUUCCACCCCCUGUUGUGGCAUCAGGUUCUUUACCAAUACGCCCUUCCCAAGUUGACAAGAUUCCAACUCCUGUAGCGGCAUCCGGUUCCUUACAGAUACUUCCUUCCCAAGGAGCAGAGAUUCCAGUACCAACUAGCACAUUAGACUUCGCCCCACCUUCAAAGGUCCCAAAGCUUUAUGGUUCGAAAAGUUUUUUCCAAACUUCCCCAACUUGGGGUUCUGUGGUUCCAAGCCUUUCUGGGGCACCGGGUUCCUUACAAAGUCCCCAAGCCCCAACUUCGAAAGCACCAAAAUCUGCUGAGCCAUCAGAAUCCUUACCAUACACAACCUCACCUUCCAUGGCUCCAAAUUCCACAAUGGGAUCAGGUUCCAUACAGGUACAUCCAGUUUUGUUACAGCGAACCACUGUGCCUACUUCCAAUGCUACAUCCCUUUCUGAGAUACCAGACUCCUUACAGAUAUCAUUGGCUGCAGCGUCCAAAUUGUCAACCUCUUCUGGAACUGGGAUGUCAGGUUUGUCCCAAGUUGCCAAGGGUCCGUUUCCUGAAAAAGCAUCAGGCUCCUUUAAGACUGGUCAGCUUGCACCAAUCCAGGUUGAGAUCAAAGCAGGGGAAUCAUGUUUUGUGAGGAAUAACAUAAGAGACGUUGUGCAGGAGCCACUCCUCUCUUCUAAGACGAUGCCCUCUUCUGUGGAUAUAACUCAAAAUAGUUCAAGAGAUACUUCUAAUGCAGAUAUUAGUGUCCCACUGAAGGCAUAUGAUAGUCAUUUUCAUUUGGACCAUUUAGAGCAAGAAACAGGAAAGCAGGGACAUGAUGCCAUAGCAGCAGUCACAGGCCGGAGACCCAGGGUCAAUAUUGAGCUAUGUGGUGGAGUUCUCAACUACAGUGACCCUGCUUACUUCAAUCAAAUACACUUCCCAACAAAAUCAUCUUUCAGGAUAGCAGUUGGGAUUCACCCAUGCCAUGCUUUUUGUGUAAGUGAAACAGACAUGAGCCAACUACGCAAUCACCUCUGUGACCUACAGGUGUGUGCUGUGAGUGAAGUUGGAUUGGAUUUCUCUUGCCCCAGAGUCCAGUGGAAUUGCCAGAAGGUGUUGCUACGUAUCAUUCUUGAGAUGGGGGUUGCAGGAAGGGUGCUAAUCCUACGCUUGCGUGCUGACGAAAUCAACCCUGCAGCAGAGAGGCCAUCCAAGGAGUGCAUGAAGAUCAUGUCAGAGUGUAAAGUGAGCCGUCACCAGCGAAUCCACCUCCACCUUUGUGACCUCAACAGUGAAGAGGUGGCUCUUUGGAAGCAAAGUUACCCAGAGUGUUAUUUUGGAUUUAGCAGCUCAUCAGAACAUUUUGGGCUGUCCCAACAAGAAGCUUUGAAACUUGUUCCACAUAAUCGUCUUCUACUUGAGUCUAAUGCUCCUUUCCUUCCAAUUGAUUUAACUGCCAAGUCAAAUUCCCCUGCUUACAUUGGAGAAAUAGCUCAGGUGCUUGCAGAAUGUCAACACCGCAACCUUGAAUCUGUUCUCAGGAGCACUACUGACAACGCAAUUUGCUUGUAUGGCCCCUGGCGGCAUUAACAAUAGUUUCUGCAUUUAGAGAUACCUGCACUUCAAAAUAUCACUAUUAUCACCAACUUUUCUGUUGGUUUUUGUUUUACUACCAAAAUUACUGUAUUCAUGUUUUGGUAAACUAAUGGUUUCAGAGGAUGAUCAUUUUUUCCCCGAUGUUCUAAUGUCCAAUCACGAUAUGGGGGCGUGAUGUAAAUUUUUCUAUUAUAAAAAGGAACAUGAAGAAAGGUUUAAAUAUCUGUUCUAAGUAAUAACUCUAUACGUUAAAUUUAUUGCAUGGGUUCUAACCAGCUUUGUUGCAUGUGGGUGUUUUGAAUAUUGAUAAAAAAAAACUUGAGUUGGCUAUGAAGCAUUGACUUUUCUUAAUGCAAUCUUGCUAUGAUUUUCUAUUAUGACUGUCAAUAUCAAGUCAAAAAUUAGCUUUGUUAUUCAGGUGAUUACAAAGUGUUCUUCUCUUCAGAAGAACUAGCAUAAUUGUAGAUCUCUUCUCUCCUGAAGCAAGAUGGACUGAUGGUGUUGACUGUCUCUCUGGUGACCAGGAGCAUGUGUUGUGCUGCAGCUGACAGUAUCAUUUUCCAAAUUACCGGGAAUGAGAAGAAUUCAAUCAGAUAAUCAAGUCCUUCCAUCCAUGAUGGAUUCUUCCUAUGCUGAGUUUAUCCACCAUUCAAUUGUGGAAGGGAAGCUGAUAUAUCCAGGAGUGUUGGUGGGUAAUAAGUCCCUA
rnacentral:misc_RNA from 1 species